GUACACUCUGCCUAAACACGUGCGCACUCACACAGGCGAGAGACCAUUUCAGUGCCCUGCAUGCCCUCAGAGCUUUUCAGAAAAGAGUCAUCUGA
rnacentral:lncRNA from 1 species